AUUGAACGCUGGCGGCAGGCUUAACACAUGCAAGUCGAGCGAGCGGCGGACGGGUGAGUACUGUCUGGGAAACUGCCUGAUGGAGGGGGAUAACUACUGGAAACGGUAGCUAAUACAGCAUACCAUCAGAUGUGCCAAGAUGGGAUUAGCUAGUAGGUGGGGUAAAGGCUCACCUAGGCGACGAUCCCUAGCUGGUCUGAGAGGAUGACCAGCCACACUGGAACUGAGACACGGUCCAGACUCCUACGGGAGGCAGCAGUGGGGAAUAUUGCGCAAGGGGCGCAAGCCGGAUGGAGCAAUGCCGCGUGUGUGAAGAAGGCCUUCGGGUUGUAAAGCACUGUCAGCGAGGAGGCGUUACUCACAGAAAAAGCACCGGCUAACUCCGUGCCAGCAGCCGCGGUAAUAC
rnacentral:rRNA from 1 species